rnacentral:rRNA from 1 species
GACGUAGGGCGCGAGCGUUGUCCGGAUUUAUUGGGCGUAAAGAGCUCGUAGGCGGCUCAUUGCGUCAACCGUGAAAUCCUGCUGCUCAACGGCAGGUCUGCGGUUGAUACGGGUGGGCUGGAGUUCGGCAGGGGAGACUGGAAUUCCUGGUGUAGCGGUGAAAUGCGUAGAUAUCAGGAGGAACACCGGUGGCGAAGGCGGAUCUCUGGGCCGUAACUGACGCGUGAG